rnacentral:rRNA from 1 species
UACGAAGGGGGCUAGCGUUGCUCGGAAUCACUGGGCGUAAAGCGCACGUAGGCGGCUUACUAAGUCAGGGGUGAAAUCCUGGAGCUCAACUCCAGAACUGCCUUUGAUACUGGUGAGCUUGAGUCCGGAAGAGGUGAGUGGAACUGCGAGUGUAGAGGUGAAAUCCGUAGAUAUUCGCAAGAACACCAGUGGCGAAGGCGGCUCACUGGUCCGGUACUGACGCUGAGGUGCGAAAGCGUGGGGAGCAAACAGG